rnacentral:rRNA from 1 species
UCAGACGAUGCGUCAUGCAUAUCAAUAAGCGGAGGAAAAGAAACUAACAAGGAUUCCCCUAGUAACGGCGAGUGAAGCGGGAAGAGCUCAAAUUUGAAAUCUUAAAGGGUUUCCCUUUACGAAUUGUAGUUUAAAGAAGUGUUUUCUGUUGAGGUUUUGGUAAAAGUUCUUUGGAAUAGGACAUCAUAGAGGGUGAGAAUCCCGUAUUUGACCUUUACUUUCAACUUUGUGAUACACUUUCAAAGAGUCGGAUUGUUUGGGAAUGCAGUCCAAAAUGGGUGGUAAAUUUCAUCUAAAGCUAAAUAUUGGCGAGAGACCGAUAGCGAACAAGUACCGUGAGGGAAAGAUGAAAAGAACUUUGAAAAGAGAGUUAAACAGUACGUGAAAUUGUCAAAAGGGAAGCGUUUGACACCGGUGUUGUUUUUCUGAAAAUCAAUUAAAGAACUGUUUAUGCUAAGCUGUUUAGACUUUAUCAGCUAUCUGUUUAGUUUUGAGCUUUUCUUUAAUGCACUUUUCAGUUAACAAGUCAACAUCAAUUUCUUUUGCUGUAAAAAAGCUUGAGGAAGGUGGCUUGAGAUUCGUCUUAAGUGUUUAUAGCCUCUUGCCUAUGCAGUCGGAGAGAUUGAGGUCUGCAGCGUAGAUCCUUCGGGGCUAAAUGCAUUUGUGCUAAGUUAUAGCAUUUCAUAGACAACUUGUUGACUAUGAUUUGUCUUGUAGCUUACUCGCUUAUGUUAUUUUACCUACGCUUAGGAUGUUGAAUCUGUGCGAGACUAC